GAACUUCCGUUAAUUGAUUAUGACGUACUUGUACUGAUUGAGAUUUUAACACGAAGUGAGUGGCGAACGGGUGAGUAACACGUGGGUAACCUGCCCAGAAGUAGGGGAUAACACCUGGAAACAGAUGCUAAUACCGUAUAACAGAGAAAACCGCAUGGUUUUCUUUUAAAAGAUGGCUCUGCUAUCACUUCUGGAUGGACCCGCGGCGUAUUAGCUAGUUGGUGAGGUAAAGGCUCACCAAGGCAGUGAUACGUAGCCGACCUGAGAGGGUAAUCGGCCACAUUGGGACUGAGACACGGCCCAGACUCCUACGGGAGGCAGCAGUAGGGAAUCUUCCACAAUGGACGCAAGUCUGAUGGAGCAACGCCGCGUGAGUGAAGAAGGGUUUCGGCUCGUAAAGCUCUGUUGUUAAAGAAGAACGUGGGUAAGAGUAACUGUUUACCCAGUGACGGUAUUUAACCAGAAAGCCACGGCUAACUACGUGCCAGCAGCCGCGGUAAUACGUAGGUGGCAAGCGUUAUCCGGAUUUAUUGGGCGUAAAGCGAGCGCAGGCGGUCUUUUAAGUCUAAUGUGAAAGCCUUCGGCUCAACCGAAGAAGUGCAUUGGAAACUGGGAGACUUGAGUGCAGAAGAGGACAGUGGAACUCCAUGUGUAGCGGUGAAAUGCGUAGAUAUAUGGAAGAACACCAGUGGCGAAGGCGGCUGUCUGGUCUGCAACUGACGCUGAGGCUCGAAAGCAUGGGUAGCGAACAGGAUUAGAUACCCUGGUAGUCCAUGCCGUAAACGAUGAUUACUAAGUGUUGGAGGGUUUCCGCCCUUCAGUGCUGCAGCUAACGCAUUAAGUAAUCCGCCUGGGGAGUACGACCGCAAGGUUGAAACUCAAAAGAAUUGACGGGGGCCCGCACAAGCGGUGGAGCAUGUGGUUUAAUUCGAAGCUACGCGAAGAACCUUACCAGGUCUUGACAUCUUCUGACAGUCUAAGAGAUUAGAGGUUCCCUUCGGGGACAGAAUGACAGGUGGUGCAUGGUUGUCGUCAGCUCGUGUCGUGAGAUGUUGGGUUAAGUCCCGCAACGAGCGCAACCCUUAUUACUAGUUGCCAGCAUUAAGUUGGGCACUCUAGUGAGACUGCCGGUGACAAACCGGAGGAAGGUGGGGACGACGUCAAAUCAUCAUGCCCCUUAUGACCUGGGCUACACACGUGCUACAAUGGAUGGUACAACGAGUCGCGAGACCGCGAGGUUAAGCUAAUCUCUUAAAACCAUUCUCAGUUCGGACUGUAGGCUGCAACUCGCCUACACGAAGUCGGAAUCGCUAGUAAUCGCGGAUCAGCAUGCCGCGGUGAAUACGUUCCCGGGCCUUGUACACACCGCCCGUCACACCAUGAGAGUUUGUAACACCCAAAGCCGGUGGGGUAA
rnacentral:rRNA from 1 species